rnacentral:piRNA from 1 species
UGCCUCGAUGAGUUUUGAUGUCAACAAUGA